GACGAACGCUGGCGGCGUGCUUAACACAUGCAAGUCGAACGGUAAGGCCCUUCGGGGUACACGAGCGGCGAACGGGUGAGUAACACGUGGGUGAUCUGCCCUGCACUUCGGGAUAAGCCUGGGAAACUGGGUCUAAUACCGGAUAGGACUCCUGGCUUCAUGGUUGGGGGUGGAAAGCUUUUGCGGUGUGGGAUGGGCCCGCGGCCUAUGAGCUUGUUGGUGGGGUAAUGGCCUAACAAGGCGACGACGGGUAGCCGGCCUGAGAGGGUGACCGGUCACACUGGGACUGAGAUACGGCCCAGACUCCUACGGGAGGCAGCAGUGGGGAAUAUUGCACAAUGGGCGCAAGCCUGAUGCAGCGACGCCGCGUGAGGGAUGACGGCCUUCGGGUUGUAAACCUCUUUCAGCUAUGACGAAGCGCAAGUGACGGUAGUAGCAGAAGAAGGACCGGCCAACUACGUGCCAGCAGCCGCGGUAA
rnacentral:rRNA from 1 species